AUCCAGGUGACCAGUCCCAAAAUAGGACGGAAUGUGCAUCCUGGAU
rnacentral:hammerhead_ribozyme from 1 species